GUAGGGUGCGAGCGCUGUCCGGAUUUAUUGGGCGUAAAGAGCUCGUAGGCGGCUCGUCGCGUCGACCGUGAAAACCCGCGGCUUAACCGCGGGCUUGCGGUUGAUACGGGCGGGCUAGAGUUCGGUAGGGGAGACUGGAAUUCCUGGUGUAGCGGUGAAAUGCGCAGAUAUCAGGAGGAACACCGGUGGCGAAGGCGGGUCUCUGGGCCGAUACUGACGCUGAGGAGCGAAAGCGUGGGGAGCGAACAGGGUUAGAUACCCUGGUAGUCCACGCUGUAAACGUUGGGCGCUAGGUGUGGGGGGCCUCUCCGGUUCUCUGUGCCGCAGCUAACGCAUUAAGCGCCCCGCCUGGGGAGUACGGCCGCAAGGCUA
rnacentral:rRNA from 1 species